AUUGAACGCUGGCGGCAGGCCUAACACAUGCAAGUCGAGCGGAUGAAGGGAGCUUGCUCCUGGAUUCAGCGGCGGACGGGUGAGUAAUGCCUAGGAAUCUGCCUGGUAGUGGGGGAUAACGUCCGGAAACGGGCGCUAAUACCGCAUACGUCCUGAGGGAGAAAGUGGGGGAUCUUCGGACCUCACGCUAUCAGAUGAGCCUAGGUCGGAUUAGCUAGUUGGUGGGGUAAAGGCCUACCAAGGCGACGAUCCGUAACUGGUCUGAGAGGAUGAUCAGUCACCUUGAACCGGAGACCCGUCCCAGCCUCUUAGGGAGGGCAGAGGUGGGAAUUAUUGGACAAUGGGCGAAGGCCUGACCCAGCCAGGCCGGGGGGGGGAAGAAGGCCUCCGAAUGGAAAACCCUUUUAGGUUGGAAGAAAGGCAAUUAGUUUAAUCCCUGGCGGUUUGACGGUAACAAAAAAAAUAGCCACGGCUAACUUCCUU
rnacentral:rRNA from 1 species